rnacentral:rRNA from 1 species
UACAGAGGUCUCAAGCGUUGUUCGGAAUUACUGGGCGUAAAGGGUGCGCAGGCCGCGCGGUCAGUCAAUUGUGUAAUUCAGGGGCUCAACCCCUGGACUGCGCUUGAUACUUCCGUGCUAGAGCUUUGGAGAGGAGUCUGGAAUUCUCGGUGUAGCAGUGAAAUGCGUGGAUAUCGAGAAGAACACUUAGGGCGAAGGCAAGACUCUGGACAAAUGCUGACGCUCAUGCACGAAGGCUAGGGUAGCGAACGGG